UUCUCCCUGAUGGACUCGGAAGUGAUCUU
rnacentral:piRNA from 1 species